AAUAUCUGACUUUAUUUUUUGUAUGUGUUUUUUUACUCUUUGGUAGAAUUAUGGAUUCAUCAACAGCUUCUACUGUAUGUUCUGACAACAAUGACAACGAUGGAGCUUGUGCCCCCAAACCCAAAGCCAUCAUCACAUUGGACGGAGCCCCUGCCUCAGGUUUGGUCACUUGAUCCUAUUUGAGGGGAAGAAAAGAUAUCUGUGACUCAUGAAGAGCAUGCAGGUGGUGGAAGGACUUGAGAAUUAGGAAAU